rnacentral:lncRNA from 1 species
CUCCGAGGACAAUUCAAAACGGAAAAUCCCUUAGCAAGUGGCGAAAUCAAAAGCUCUAACCUAUCAAACAAAUGGACAAUAACCGUCUUAUUCCUGACUUGGUACAGGUGCUGGAUAACUUCAACACUCCUUUCUAGGUUACAAAAGUACAUGUCAGUUUUAAAAUACAACAUUUUUUUCGGAACUAUAAUAGUACAUUGAACAAAUAACAACAC